rnacentral:rRNA from 1 species
GUUUCGAAUCAUUCACAAUGGGCGAAAGCCUGAUGGUGCGACGCCGCGUGAGGGAUGAAGGUCUUCGGAUUGUAAACCUCUGUCACUGGGGAGAAAACGCUUCGGGUUAAUAGUCUGAAGCCUGAUUUAACCCGGAGAGGAAGCAGUGGCUAACUCUGUGCCAGCAGCCGCGGUAAUACAGAGACUGCAAGCGUUAUUCGGAUUCACUGGGCGUAAAGGGUGCGCAGGCGGCCGUGUGUGUUAGAUGUGAAAUCCCGGGGCUCAACCCCGGAACUGCGUCUAAAACUACAUGGCUAGAGUAUUGGAGAGGGUAACGGAAUUCACGGUGUAGCAGUGAAAUGCGUAGAUAUCGUGAGGAACACCAGAGGCGAAGGCGGUUACCUGGACAAUUACUGACGCUCAGGCACGAAAGCGUGGGGAGCAAA